rnacentral:rRNA from 1 species
GGACCAAGGAGUCUAGCAUGUGCGCGAGUCAUUGGGACACGACUAAACCUAAAGGCGCAAUGAAAGUAAAGGUCAGCCUUGCGCUGACCGAGGGAGGAUGAGCGGUUCGCCCUUAAAGUGGCCGCUCCGCACUCCCGGGGCGUCUCAUUCUCAUCGCGAGAAGAGGCGCACCAAGAGCGUACACGCUGGGACCCGAAAGAUGGUGAACUAUGCCUGGUCAGGACGAAGUCAGGGGAAACCCUGAUGGAGGUCCGUAGCGAUUCUGACGUGCAAAUCGAUCGUCGGAACUGGGUAUAGGGGCGAAAGACUAAUCGAACCAUCUAGUAGCUGGUUCCCUCCGAAGUUUCCCUCAGGAUAGCUGGCGCUCGUAUUAACGAGUCUCAUCCGGUAAAGCGAAUGAUUAGAGGCAUUGGGGUCGAAACGACUUCAACCUAUUCUCAAACUUUAAAUGGGUGAGAUCUCCGGCUUGCUCGAACUUGAAGCCGCGAGACACGGAUCAGAGUGCCAAGUGGGCCAUUUUUGGUAAGCAGAACUGGCGCUGUGGGAUGAACCAAACGCCGAGUUAAAGCGCCUAAAUCGACGCUUAUGGGAUACCAUGAAAGGCGUUGGUAACUUAAGACAGCAGGACGGUGGCCAUGGAAGUCG